CUACGGGGGGCAGCAGUGGGGAAUAUUGCACAAUGGGCGCAAGCCUGAUGCAGCCAUGCCGCGUGUAUGAAGAAGGCCUUCGGGUUGUAAAGUACUUUCAGCGGGGAGGAAGGGAGUAAAGUUAAUACCUUUGCUCAUUGACGUUACCCGCAGAAGAAGCACCGGCUAACUCCGUGCCAGCGGCCGCGGUAAUACAGGAGGGUGCAAGCGUUAAUCGGAAUUACUGGGCGUAAAGCGCACGCAGGCGGUUUGUUAAGUCAGAUGUGAAAUCCCCGGGCUCAACCUGGGAACUGCAUCUGAUACUGGCAAGCUUGAGUCUCGUAGAGGGGGGUAGAAUUCCAGGUGUAGCGGUGAAAUGCGUAGAGAUCUGGAGGAAUACCGGUGGCGAAGGCGGCCCCCUGGACGAAGACUGACGCUCAGGUGCGAAAGCGUGGGGAGCAAACAGGAUUAGAUACCCCGGUAGUC
rnacentral:rRNA from 1 species